UACGUAGGGGGCAAGCGUUGUCCGGAAUCAUUGGGCGUAAAGAGCGUGUAGGCGGCCCGGUAAGUCCGCUGUGAAAGUCCAGGGCUCAACCCUGGGAUGCCGGUGGAUACUGUCGGGCUCGAGUCCGGAAGAGGAGUGUGGAAUUCCUGGUGUAGCGGUGAAAUGCGCAGAUAUCAGGAGGAACACCAAUGGCGAAGGCAGCUCGCUGGGACGGUACUGACGCUGAGGCGCGAAAGCGUGGGGAGCGAACAGG
rnacentral:rRNA from 1 species